GCCCACUUGAUAGCUCAGUCAGUAGAGCAUGAGACUCAGUAGAGUAUGACACAAUCUCAGAGACAUGGGUUCGAGUCCCACACUGGGCA